ensembl:lncRNA
GCCCCUGGCUUGGGAGUUGGGGCGCUGCGGUGCUCGCUCUUUUAAAGUUUUUCUCCAGCGUGGAGUUUACAGCUUUCAGAGAUCUGAGAGCCAUCUUCCCGCGCUGAACGAGAAGUCAGGUGGGGGACACACCUCCCAGUUCUGAAUAUGAUGGAGUGAAGAAUGAAGAGAAACAACCAUCAGAUGCAGCUAGAGAUUCUCAUGCUAAGUGAAGUACGCUGACGUCCUAGUUGCUGGUACUUGUGAAACCUGUGUCCUAUGCAAGCUUGCAUCUGCAUCUUCCAUCUACACCCCAGCUCGCGGCAAUGCGGGAUCCUUAACACACGGAGGGAAGCCAGGGAUCGAGCCUGAAUCCUCAUGGAUACUAGUUGGGUUCUUAACCCACUGAGCUGCAACAGGAACUCCAACUGCCCACUCUUUUUGGAAAGCAGAGGGAGACAGCUGUUCCUCAUUCUUUCACGCACUUUCACGUUAUAAGUAUUCAGCCAACAAUUUCCUCCUGAGAAGGAACAGAACAAGUCUGUACAGCCACUCCUGCAAACAUAGUGAGAACGUCAGCGCGAAGACGGCGGCCGUGUUGGGUCAUGGCGCCCUCUGGUGGCCACUGUGGAAAAGAGCAGGACAUCACCGGGACCCAGCGAGAGCCUGGAGGACGGAGGUGAGAGCACAACGCAGAGGCCCCUGGUGUGAGGCGCGGGAUCUUGCCGUAGGACAGUACCUGUCUGGCAGGCUGUGGUCUGGAAGCUGGCAGAGGACAGGCCUGUGAGGGACAUUCUCUUUCCUGUCAGCCCCGCUGCUUCGAGGUGAUGCCCAUGGAGCCCGCAGGGAGAGGCCUUCGCUGCUCUCCUUUCCCAUAAAAGGCAGCCCCUGGG